rnacentral:rRNA from 1 species
CAGCCGCCGCGGGAACACGUAGGUGGCAAGCGUUGUCCGGAAUUAUUGGGCGUAAAGGGCUCGCAGGCGGUUUCUUAAGUCUGAUGUGAAAGCCCCCGGCUCAACCGGGGAGGGUCAUUGGAAACUGGGAAACUUGAGUGCAGAAGAGGAGAGUGGAAUUCCACGUGUAGCGGUGAAAUGCGUAGAGAUGUGGAGGAACAUCAGUGGCGAAGGCGACUCUCUGGUCUGUAACUGACGCUGAGGAGCGAAAGCGUGGGGAGCGAACAGGAUUAGAUACCCGCGUAGUCCCUGUCUCUUAUAC